rnacentral:snoRNA from 1 species
AGUCGGCUUUGAGGAUCAUCAUUCAUCUCAAAGCCAGUUCUGCUUCAGAAAAUUCUUGAUUGAUAAGAUGAUUAAUAUCUGAGCAUU